GAAGACAGCUCGCUAGCGUAUCUAGUCUGUGUGUAUCUAUGGUCCGCACGUCUGGUAGCAUCUCUGGCUGCUGUUGAUCUUGUUUUUGGAGUAAAACACGGUGGAAGCUGAAUUAGUGAGGAUGACUCCUGCUCCUGUCAUCUCUAAGCUCCUCACACAUCUUUACCUGCACAUGAGGAAAAUCACUCCUGUAGAAUGCAGAUGUUCAGAGGGAGAUGAUGCCACAUCUGGUCCAGCUGAUGGAAGGUCUUGAAGUUCUCUGACUGGCCUCGACUGAAGAUGGUCGUCUCACUGGAUUUAAGGUUCAGAUGCUCAGUAACAAACUCCACCAAUGUGCCAACAGGGAAGCUUUAGGUUUAUUAAAUGUUGCUAUGAAGGUAUCGCUGUUUUUCUUUGUGAAUGCAAUGUGCUCCAACUGAAACUUGAAUUAGAACUUAGAAGUAAAUCCUUCCAUCUGAAAGGAUUUAGUUGCAUUAAUAACCUGAUAACAUUCUAAUUUUUAUUCCAGUCUUGGUUGAAAAUAGAAUCUCUGUAUUGAUUCAGGUAAAAACUGAACUUCACAGCAUGUUGAAGCAAAACAACCAGAUGAAAACUGUGAUGGUGUUGGAUUGUCAGACUGUAAUGUUGCAGCUCAAAGCAGCUUUUCUAGCUCAGUUCAUUCUGACAUUCAGCUAUGAAUCAACACAGCAGAUGGUGAUCCAUGCUGUGGAAGUCUCACAUCUCCUGAUUUAAUGGAGCUGCUUUGCACUUUUUACACUGUUUAUUCACCAACACUUUAUUUAAUAAAAGUCCCAUCUAGUUUUUAUGAGGAAUGUGAUGUUUUAAUUUCUCUGUGAAUAACUGCAGUCUAAUGCAACAGCUGGAGUUGUAACAUCUGUCCUGAUAUUGAUCAUGAAGUAUUGAUCAGAAUACUUAUGGUUAGCAGUCAUCCCUGAAGUUUUACAUUCAAAUCUUUACUUGUGUUGUGAACUUUGGUAAGAAGCAGAAACGUUAGCGUUGCCAUGGAUACAUGAGUGUUAAAUUCUGUCCAUGUUUCCAUUUUGGGAAAUUCAGUCCAGCAGAUGAGUUUGUUUUUACUGCCAGCUACCAUUCAGUCUGAGAUAUUAAGAAUAAAUUAAUAUGCAUAAUGUGGAAAUUAACAGAUUUUAUUUUUAUUUAUUCCUACAGCUGCUGCAGGGAAUGUUCUCAAAUGUGGAGGAAUUUAGUCUCAAUCACAGACAACAAAUAUCUGAAAGUCGGGUUAUUGUUGUUUAUCAGCACAAUACAAAAAGUUUAAUGUCAGAAAUAUUCCAGUUAAGACCCUAGAAUAUCAUGAUUUAUGUAAAUUUACCUCAAUAAUAUGAAUGUUCAGGUCAAGAUUGUACAGUGAUAUUUAUUAUGUAAGUUUAGCUGAUUGAAGUUUAUGACUCUGCACUAAAAUAUUAUUUAAAUUGACAUCAUUAUUAUAAUAUUUAGGGUCAGACCCUACAGUAUUGAGAUUAAGAAAUCAAAUAUUCUAUAAAAUGUAAAUACACUGAACUCAUUUGGAUAUAUUUAAGUGAGACUCUACAAUAUUUGACACAAAUUUAUCUAAAUCAAAAUUUUAAUAAUUUUCACGCCAAACAUUUACUGGACUGAUUUAAAUAUUAAAAUCACUGCUUUCUAAUCCUCUGCUGUACUUUCAAACCUGAGGCCUUAAAUAGAAAAACACAAGUAUCUGAUUGAAGGAACUUCUGCAGAGUCCUGGUUCCAGAACAUGAUGAUAGAAUUAUAGACAAACUUUAACAAAAGCUGCCUGAGAGUUUACAGGUUUUUAUGUUGGAUUUCUUCGGUAAUUUAAUGAGAGUUAUCAGCAAUAAUCAAGUGUUCAUUUGAUGAACUACAUUUCCUAAAACAUCCAGAAUUGGAGCUCAUAUCUUUGGCAGCUGUAAAGUUUCUGCUCCUUCAAAGUUCACAACACAAUGAAUGAAUUCCUAAAACACUCUCAAUGCUGGAGAGCGUUUGUGAUGCUGAAGCAGUGACCAGUUUUUCUGUUUCUUCUCUGAAGCUGCACAACGAGGGACGUCUGCAGAGACUGAGAAAGAGUCUCACCACAUCCUGACAUGAGGAAAAAGACUUGAUUGAAGACUACAAUGAGAAAAACUAUCAGACAGCAGACUGCUGCAUUCAAGGUGAGCUCUGAACAUUUGAUCUGGAACAGGAAUUCAAUAACUGCAGCAUGAGCUUCAUUUCAGUCUGUAGCUACUGAAUUCAUGGAUGAAUCAUCUGGCACUAGAGAAGAAGACCAUCAAACAUCCACGUCAGCUGAUGGAGGUCCAAGAGUCUCACCGAACAACCAACCUCCAGAGUGAAGACCUCGAAUCUGAUUGGACGGUCUCCUAUUCAGCCACAUGUGUGAACAAAUGCCUCUAAGUUGAUUUGUUUUCUAAAAUAAAUCUAGUUUGAGUCCUAA